AGAGUUUGAUCAUGGCUCAGAUUGAACGCUGGCGGCAUGCCUUACACAUGCAAGUCGAACGGCAGCAUGAUCUAGCUUGCUAGAUUGAUGGCGAGUGGCGAACGGGUGAGUAAUACAUCGGAACGUGCCCUGUAGUGGGGGAUAACUAGUCGAAAGAUUAGCUAAUACCGCAUACGACCUGAGGGUGAAAGUGGGGGACCGCAAGGCCUCAUGCUAUAGGAGCGGCCGAUGUCUGAUUAGCUAGUUGGUGAGGUAAAGGCUCACCAAGGCGACGAUCAGUAGCUGGUCUGAGAGGACGAUCAGCCACACUGGGACUGAGACACGGCCCAGACUCCUACGGGAGGCAGCAGUGGGGAACUUUGGACAAUGGGCGAAAGCCUGAUCCAGCAAUGGCCGCGUGUGUGAAGAAGGCCUUCGGGUUGUAAAGCACUUUUGUCCGGAAAGAAAUGGCUCUGGUUAAUACCUGGGGUCGAUGACGGUACCGGAAGAAUAAGGACCGGCUAACUACGUGCCAGCAGCCGCGGUAAUACGUAGGGUCCAAGCGUUAAUCGGAAUUACUGGGCGUAAAGCGUGCGCAGGCGGUUGUGCAAGACCGAUGUGAAAUCCCCGAGCUUAACUUGGGAAUUGCAUUGGUGACUGCACGGCUAGAGUGUGUCAGAGGGGGGUAGAAUUCCACGUGUAGCAGUGAAAUGCGUAGAGAUGUGGAGGAAUACCGAUGGCGAAGGCAGCCC
rnacentral:rRNA from 1 species